AUUCCUCCCCCCACGCACCCGUCACACCUCCCUCCUCCAUUCCCAUUUCUUCCACCUCCCUCAGAUCUCCGCGCCUCCCCCAAUGACAUGAUCACCGCCACGACGGCGACCACCAUCGCGUAGCCCGCUCACCAUGGCGACCCCCACGGCGCCAUUAGGCGGCGCGUCCCCGUCGGGCCGCGUCCUGGGCCCCGCGCUGGACCGGAUCAUCAAAAACGCCGCGUGGCGGAAGCACUCGGCGCUCGUGGCAGCGGCGAAGGCCGCGCUCGACCUCCUCUCCUCAUCGCCGGCCUACCCGUCGCCGGACCCUACCUCGCCGAAAUCCUCGCCGCUGCUCGGCCUGGCCCCCGCCGCCGCCGACGCGGCCCUCCACGCGCUGCUGCUCGCGCUCGAGUCCGCCUCGCCCAAGGUCGCCGACCCCGCGCUCGAUUGCGUCGCCAAGCUCCUCUACCACCGCCUCCUCUUCGGCGACCUCGGUUGCGCCGGCGGCGGCGACGAUGCCUCUUCCCCCUCCUCCCGCCUCCUCAACGCCGUCCUCGCGUGUGGCGCGCUCUCCGAUGACGCAAUGGAGCUCGCCACCCUCCGCGUCGUUGUUGCCGCCGCACGGUGCCCCACCGUCGCCAUCCGCGGGGAGGGCCUCGGCCAGGUCCUCAAGACCUGCUACAACAUAUACCUCAGCAGCAGCAGCGGCGCCAAUCAGCUCUGCGCGAAGCUUGCGCUUGCGCAGGUGCUGGUCAUUGUGUUUGCGCGCGUGGAGGUGGACACCAUGGACAUGCGCGUGCGGACGGUGUCGAUCACAGAUAUGAUGGACAUGUCUGACCGCAGCCUGAACGACUCCAGCAUCGUGCAGGUGGCUCAGGGGUUUAUAAAUGAGGCUAUGGAGGGUAGUGAUGUCCCAGAGCCAGGGUCACCUGUGGAGCCAAUUGAGGUGGACGGGAAGGAGGAUGAUGGGAUGAGCAAGAUCAGGGAGGAUGGGCUAGCACUCUUCAAGAACCUGUGCAAGCUGUCAAUGAAGUUCUCGACGCCAGAUAACCCUGAGGAUCAGAUGUUGCUGCGGGGCAAGGUGUUGUCUCUUGAGUUGCUGAAAAUGGUUGUUGACAAUGCCGGCCCUUUCUGGAGAACAAACGAAAAGUACCUUGGAGCAAUCAAGCAAUAUCUUUGUUUGUCCUUGUUGAAGAACAGUGCUUUGUCCUCAAUGAGUAUUUUUCAGCUGUUGUGCUCCAUAUUUGUGGGCUUGUUAUCAAGGUUUAGAUCUGGGCUGAAAGAGGAAAUUGGAAUAUUUUUUCCAAUGCUUGUCCUAAGGGUUCUUGAGAAUGUCCAUCAACCUAGCUUUCUGCAAAAAAUGACAGUUCUAAACUUGUUGGAGAAGAUCUGUAAAGAAUCCCAGGUUCUUAUCGAUAUCUUUGUGAACUACGAUUGCGAUGUAGAUGCACCAAAUAUUUUUGAAAGGGCUGUCAAUGGACUUCUAAAAACUGCUUUAGGUGUUCCUCCAGGAUCUACAACAACAUUAACUACAGCACAAGACCAAACGUUUCGGAUUGAGUCAGUCAAGUGCCUUGCAACCAUAAUCAAAUCAAUGGGUUCAUGGAUGGACCAACAGCUGAGAAUUGGUGCAUUUUCACCAAAAAUUUCUGAAGCUUCUUUAAGUUCAGUGAGUUCAAUGAGUUCAAUAGACAUUCCUAACAUCCUUAUUGGAGAAGAUGGGAGUGGAAUUGAUUAUGAACUGCAAUCUGACUCUGGUAGCCCAGACGUAUCUGGUGCUCCCUCCCUUGAGCAACGUCGUGCUUUUAAAAUAGAACUUCAGAAAGGAAUUUCCUUGUUUAACAGAAAACCUUCCAAGGGUAUUGAUUUUCUCAUUAAAAGCAAGAAGAUAGGGCAUUCGCCAGAAGAUGUUGCUUCUUUCUUGAGAAAUACUGCUGGUUUAAAUGCGACAAUGAUUGGAGACUAUUUGGGCGAAAGAGAUGAAUUCCCUAUCAAAGUUAUGCAUGCAUAUGUUGAUGCACUGAACUUCGAAGGUAUGGACUUUGGUGAAGCCAUUAGGUAUUAUUUGCGAGGCUUCAGGCUGCCUGGGGAAGCACAGAAAAUUGAUAGGAUCAUGGAAAAGUUUGCUGAACGAUACUGCAAAUGCAAUCCAGACUCCUUUACCAGUGCAGAUACCGCAUAUGUUCUUGCAUAUUCUGUAAUCAUGCUCAACACUGAUGCUCACAAUACUAUGGUCAAGGAUAAGAUGUCCAAGACUGAUUUCAUUCGCAAUAACCGAGGCAUAGAUGAUGGAAAGGACUUGCCGGAAGCUUAUCUGGGUACACUAUAUGACCAAAUUGUCAAAAACGAGAUCAAAAUGAGUGCUGAUUCAUCAGUCCCACAAAACAAGCAAACUAGUACUGUGAUGAAGCUAUUAGGUUUGGACAAUAUUAUGAGCUUUGUUAACUGGAAACAGGCUGAGGAUAGGGCAGUUGGAGCAAAUGACUUGCUCAUCAAGAACAUACAAGAGAAAUUUAAAUUAAAGAGUGGAAAGUCAGAGUCUGUGUUUUCAGUUAUUACUGACACGACAAUUUUAAGAUACAUGAUGGAGGUUUGUUGGGCCCCAAUGAUGGCCGCAUUCAGUGUGACACUUGACCAGAGCGAUGAUAAGGCAGCCACGUCGCAAUGUUUGCAGGGAUUCAGAUCCGCUGUGCAUGUUACCUCUGUUAUGUGCAUGCAGACGCAGAGAGAUGCCUUUGUGACAUCUGUAGCCAAAUUUACAUAUCUCCAUUGUGCCGCUGACAUGAAACAAAAGAAUGUGGAUGCUGUGAAGGCUAUAAUAUCCAUUGCAAUCGAAGAUGGUGAUUAUUUGCAGGAAGCUUGGGAGCAUAUAUUGACAUGCCUUUCUCGGUUUGAGCAUUUACAUCUUCUUGGAGAGGGAGCACCUACUGAUGCUUCAUUUCUCACAGUACCACUGGUUGAUUCAGAAGAAAAAACACAAAAGUCUGCCUCUAUGUUGUCAAAGAGAACUAAUGCACUUCAGAAUCCAGCUGUAAUGGCUGCUGUUAGAGGGGGUUCUUAUGAUAGCACAACAGCAAAAAACAAAGCAUCGCCAUUGGUUACUCCUGAACAGAUUAAUAAUUUCAUAUCAAACAUAAACCUGCUAGACCAGAUUGGCAUUUUUGAGUUAAAUCACAUAUUUGCUCAUAGCCCAAGACUAAAUAGUGAUGCUAUUGUUUCUUUUGUGAAAGCUCUUUGCAAAGUUUCAAUGACAGAGUUGCAAUCUCCUACAGAUCCUCGUAUCUUCUGCCUAACGAAGAUUGUUGAGAUUGCGCAUUACAAUAUGAACCGCAUACGUUUGGUUUGGUCCCGUAUUUGGAAAGUUCUGUCAGACUUUUUUGUUUCUGUUGGGCUCUCGGAGAAUCUUUCAGUCGCAGUAUUUGUUAUGGACUCUUUGAGGCAGCUUGCCAUGAAGUUUCUGGAAAGAGAAGAACUGGCAAAUUAUAACUUCCAGAAUGAAUUCCUGCAACCUUUUGCGGUGGUUAUGCAGAAGAGCAGUGCUUCAGAAGUACGCGAACUUGUAGUUCGAUGUGUCUCCCAAAUGGUUCUGAGUCGUGUCAACAAUAUAAAAUCUGGAUGGAAAAGUGUUUUUACGGUUUUUACUGCAGCAGCUGCUGAUGAUCGAAAAAGUAUUGUUCUGUUGGCAUUUGAAACUAUGGAAAAGAUUGUUAGGGAUUAUUUCCCUUACAUAACUGAAACUGAAACCACAACAUUUACUGAUUGUGUUAAAUGCCUCAUUACAUUCACAAGUAGUAAAUUUAGCAGUGAUGCCAGUCUCAAUGCUAUUGCAUUUCUUCGGUUCUGUGCUGUCAAACUCGCGGAGGAAGGAUUUAUUUGCCAUGACAAGGAUGCUGACCAGCAACCAAAUAAUUUAGAUUCUUCAGAUGGGAACAUCACAGUGCAUAAGGAUGAUCAUGUUUACUUCUGGGUUCCUUUGCUUGCUGGUCUUGCUAGAUUGACAACUGACUCAAGACCAACUAUCAGAAAAGGUGCUGUGGAAGUGCUCUUCGACAUUUUGAAAGAUCAUGGGCACCUCUUUUCUCAGUCCUUCUGGGCUAAUAUCUUCGAAUCAGUUAUUUAUCCCCUAUUUAGUAGUGAAAGCUUUGCACCAAAUGGUCAGAUUUCAAGUGUAAAUAGUACCGAGGAUGAUUCUUGGAAUUUCGAAACUAAAAUGGUGGCUCUAAGAUGUUUAGCAGAUUUGUAUAUUACCUUUUUUGAAGUGAUGCGGCUAGAACUUUCUAGAGUUACUUCUGUUAUUACAAAUUUCAUCAGAAGCCCAUAUAAACAGUCAGCUAGCACAAGCAUAUCAGUUUUCCAGUGUUUAACAGAAGGACUUGCAAGCAAGCUCUCCAAUGAUGAGUGGGAGAAGAUUUUGCUGUGUUUCAAAGAAUCAGCAGCACAUACAUUUGUUGUAUUCGACAAAAUAGUUAGGAUGAUGAAAGACAUUGAAAUUCCAGAUAGAAAUGAAUCUUACUCUGAAGCUGAACAAUAUUCAGAUCAUGACGUAUACAAUGAUGAUGAAGAGGAAGCUAAUAUGGAAACGGCAUCCUAUGCUAUUGUCAGAAUGAAGAAUCAUAUGGCUUUGCAACUCUUAAUUGUUCAGGGCAUCGUUAAAUUGUAUGAGGUGCACAAGAGCUUUCUGUGUGCUGAGCAUAUAGGCAUAAUGUUGCAGAUGCUAUCUGCCAUUUCAUCUCAUGCAAGUGAAGUGAACACUGAAUCUAACUUGCACAUAAAACUACAUAAAGCAUGUUUCCUUUUGGAGGUCUCUGAGCCAGCAGUCAUUCAUUUUGAGAGCGAGUCCUACCAGAGCUAUCUGAAGCUUCUGCAAGCUAUUCUUCAUGACAAUCCAUCUUUGUCAGAAAAUAUGAAUGUGAAUGUGGAGUCACAAAUUAUGCUUGUCUGUGACAAAAUAUUGCGAAUGUAUCUCACCUGUGCAGGGCAUGAACUAUCUAAUGAUGCUUCUGGUAGAGAUCCAGCUUUACACAGGUUGCCUCUGGGUACUUCUAAAAAGGAGGAACUGGAGGCUAGAACUUCGUUGGUCCUUCAUGUAAUGCGGUUAUUGGGCGGUUUAGAGAAGAAUUGCUUUAGGAGGAACUUGCCCAUGUUUUUCCCCUUAUUAGCUAAUCUUAUCCGCUGCCAGCAUAGCUCUGGAGAAGUUCAAGUUGCACUGUAUGAAAUAUUCCAAUCAUCAAUAGGCCCCAUAAUAUCAGCAUAGUAUAUAUUAUUUCCUCACAAGUUGUACAAUUUUGUCAGUUCAUUUUCAUAAGGUAGCUCAUUUGAUAGUGGUUACAUCAGAAUAUGGUAUUAGAAAAGGGUACAGAUUUACAGUAUUGUAAAUGACUUAUUGUUGUGGCCAAUCAGUCACCUGUCCUUCAGGAUUCUGGCGUUGAAGCUACAUGCAAUGUUGACCCAGAUGCCUGAAGAAGGAUUUUGAGGCGCAUUUGCCAUUCUUUUCUAACAUUCAUUUUAUUCCGAUGGCUAGUCAUCGACAUGUCAAAGCAUCUGAACAUUGGAACAAGGCUCCCUAAUUUCUGUCCUGCACCAACAGCUCUGAAAUUUUGCAAGAGGUGGUUUGCUUGCCACAGAGAGAUUUUGAGCUUACAGUUUUGGUGUAUUUUUUUUUCUCUCUCUUUUUUUUUAUAAUUUCUCUGUAUAGUGUCCUCUCCUGAACCGAGACUACAAUGGGGCGUAUGUCACAUGUUGCCUUUCCCCCUAAUCUGCCGAAUCUCUUGGAAUUACCAUAACUGUAUCUACACAGUAGUUAAUAUAUACUUUCAUUUUCAAUA